GGGGCUGUGGUGUAACUGGCAGCAUGACGGACUUUGCUGUGACGUCUGUUAAGGGCGUUCGGUGAGGGUUCAACUCCCUUCGGCCCCA
rnacentral:tRNA from 1 species